AUAUACACAUCCACACGCCAGCCCAAUGCCACCCACGUGGGACCAUUGAUUUCACUACCUCCAGGCUUUCUCAGAUCCACCCUCCAAAAAACACUCUUCUGUCUGGUGAAAAUCCAAAGUCAACUUUCACAAAAUCUACUAAAGCAUAAAAAGAAAUGAAAUAACCCAGAAUAUUCAACACUAUUGAAGGAGAAUGACAAAGGGGAAGGAUUAACACCACCCUCAACUUUUCUCACUUAUUAUAAAGUUACAGUAACCAAGACAGCAUGGGAUUGGCAAAAGAAGAGGCAAACAGAUCAAUGGAACAGAAUAGAGAGCCCAGAAAUAGACCCACGAGAAUACAGUCAACUGAUCUUUGUAAAAGAGGUAAGGCAAUACAACAGAGCAAGGAUAGCCUUACUGGAAAAAUGGACAUACACACACACAUACACACACGAAUCUAGACACAGACCUCACACCCUUCACAAAAAUUAUCUCAAAAUGGAUCAGAGACCUAAAUAUAAAACACAAAACUAUACAAUUCCUAGAAGAUGACAUAGGAGAGGACCUAGAUAAACUUAAUUUGGCAAUGACUUUUUAGAUAACACCACCAGAGGCAUAAUCUAUGAAAAAGAGUUGAUAGGUUGGACUUCAUUAAAAUUAAAAAUGUCUGGUUUGCAAAAGAUACUGUCAAGAUUAUGAGAAGACAAGCACAGAAUGUGACAAGAUAUUUGUGAAAGACGUAUCUCAUAAAGGAUUUUGUAUAUGCAAACCAUAGAAAGAACUUUCAAAACUCAACAAUAAGAAAACCCAAUUAAAAAAACGGGUCAAAGACUUUAAUAGACACCUCAUCAAAGAUACACAAAUGGCAAGUAAGUAUGCAGACAGGUUAUCCUCAUCAUCAGGGAAAUGCAAAUUAAAGAAACAAUGAGAUACCACCACAUAUCUCCAUUCUAAUAUAUGUAUUAUUUGGCCAUUGUAAAAUCUAGAAUAUUGACAAUAGCAAAUGUUGACAAGAACGUGGAGCAGCAGAAACACAACCACUGCUGGUAUGACUGUAAAAUGGUAUAGUCACGUUGGAAGACAAAUUGGUGCUGCUUAUAAACUGAGCAUUCUCUUACCAUUCAGCAAUCACGUUCCUUCUUACUUAUUCAAAGAGGCUGAAAGCUUAUAUCCACACCAAAACCCACACCCAAAUAUUUAGAGCAGCUUUAUUCAUAAUUGUCAAAACAUGGAAGCAACCAAUAUGUCUUUAGCAGGAGAAUGAAUAAAGAAACUAUGGUACACUCAGAUAUUGGACUAGUAUACAGCAGUAAAAAAGACAUGAGCUAUCAAGUCUUGAAAAGACAUGGCAGAAACUUCAGUGCAUAUUACUAAAUGAAAAAAGCCAAUCUGAAAAGGCUAUCAAGGGAAAAGAGGCCAAUAAUGGGAAGAAAGAAACCCCCAGCCCCCCCAACUUAUGAAGAUGGAAACUGGUGAUCUAGGAUUCCCAGAAAGGGUAGAGAAAAACUCACUUAGCCUCCUAGAUUCACAGAACUAGAAUCAAAUCCAGAUUUGGCUCUAGGGCCAAAUCUCCAGUAGAAAAGUCAAUCCUGUCUUCCAAUCAAACAAAUGAAGUCAUCUGUGCUAAUAUUUAUACAAGGGAUACAAAGAGACUACACAGUAUCACUUUGUAGAUGCUGGGAAAAGACACCACCUGUUCAUUCAAAGCCGAAGACUUCAGUUCCACCUAGAUGUUGGGGAAAUUAACAUAAACUUUUUUGAAAGAAGGGUUAGUCAUUCAAAAUAGUAACAUGCUUUCUCCUCCCUCCAAAAAACAAUCUUCAGAUAAUUAGGAUUUGAGAAGAAAGGGGUCGGUUCUCUACAUCAUGUGGCACUGUGAAGAUAUGAUAAUUAACAUCCACUGUUAAGAGUUACAAAGCAAUCCCUUUCCUAUGUUAUUCAGAAGACUUGGCUCCUUAUUCCCGAAUUAAAAUGAGGACGAAAAGACCUAACUUCCACCUUGUCUCAACAUCAGUGGGCUGCUUUCCCCACAGCCAACCACCUUUCCUAAACUCCCGACUUUUCAACCGCUAAGACCAUGGAAACAUUAAGAAUGACCCUCCUUCAUCAAACCUCAACUUCCCCUCCCACUUGCACUUCUGACCAAUGUACUCACUUCAAAGCAAGCAACAGCAUCCUGUUCAGUUACUCAGUAGGGCCUCUGUAUCUUCACCUAACACCUUCAACCCAAAGAAAACCAAAAGCCACAAAAGACCUCCAUCAUCUCCACACAGCUCCUAGUCCGGCGAUGGCACUUAUGUAACCUCUGGUUUUUGCUCUUAUUGUUUAUUUUGUCAGUUGCCAUGGGAAAGACUGGACAACUCCAUCUGCAAGGGGUAAUUACUGGCCUUCCAAACACACACACACUCACGCAGCAGAGAAGAAGUAUGUGCAGUUAAAGACUUCUUCAAGGAGACCAAGCAAAGGUUAACCAAUGUAUUACUUUGCUGCUGGCAUGCACACAGAAAGGCAGCUGUUCGUUACCAACUAUACUCCAUAUUUUCAGCUCAAGUAUUCAUAAUCGAAAUUAGUAUCUCCUCACAAGUUAAUAUUUCUCAGGCACUACAGACUAAGUGGAUCAUCUUUGCACAAAGAAGAACCAUAAAUAGAAAUUCACAAGUCUGACUUUACCGAAUGUCAAUGAGGUUAAGAGAGGCUGAGCAACUCUCAUAGGACUGAUUAAUAGUGGAGUCAAGAGUCCAGCCCAGAGCCCACAGUCUUGCUGCACUGACCAUUGCUCACGGUGCCUGACCACAGCCUGGGUCACAAGCACCGCUGGCUUCUGGUCUGAUCUCCUGACAGGCUGAAGGGACUCCAACUCUCACCCAACCCAUCCAGUCAAAGUGAGAAAAAUACAAAGCUCCUUUGGUACCAAAGUGCCUAUGAUCACAGGCCACAAUAGUAACAGUGAUCCUCUCUUUUGAUUCCAGCACAAAAUAAAUAUGCAUGUGUGACU
rnacentral:lncRNA from 1 species